rnacentral:rRNA from 1 species
GGGUGGCGAGUGGCGGACGGGUGAGUAAUGCAUCGGGAUCUACCCAGACGUGGGGGAUAACCUAGGGAAACCGGGGCUAAUACCGCAUACGUCCUACGGGAGAAAGCGGGGGACCUUCGGGCCUCGCGCGGCAGGAUGAACCGAUGUGCGAUUAGCUAGUUGGCGGGGUAAUGGCCCACCAAGGCGACGAUCGAUAGCUGGUCUGAGAGGAUGAUCAGCCACACUGGGACUGAGACACGGCCCAGACUCCUACGGGAGGCAGCAGUGGGGAAUAUUGGACAAUGGGCGCAAGCCUGAUCCAGCAAUGCCGCGUGUGUGAAGAAGGCCUUCGGGUUGUAAAGCACUUUUAUCAGGAGCGAAAUACCACGGGUUAAUACCCUAUGGGGCUGACGGUACCUGAGGAAUAAGCAC